AGCCAAUCACAAUCUCACUUCCACUGCCUCUCUCCUCACCCAUAAUGGCCUCUCACCCCUCAUCCACCUCCCAGCCCUCCAGCCUGGAGCUGUGCCUUUCCCGUGGAGCCUUCUCAUGACCAUGAGCCUCAACCACUCUAUGCAUUAUGACCCCGUAUCCUGCACAUGCUAACCAACUGCAUAUUAGCACUGAACUAACUACACUUCAGGAAAAGUGUAUCCAGAGGAAAAGGUAUUCAUCCCUCUAAUUCCCUGAAGCUGUGGAUGUAAGCAAUGAAGAAAAAGGGGCACCACAUGAUGAGCACUCAGAUCACCAGCUCACUGCUGGAAGCCUGGGCUGAGCAAACUCCUGGAACUCAGUCUGGAACAGAGAUUUAGUCCCCAGAUCUCACCUUCCUAAAGCAGAAAGGAUCCAGGUCAGAGCAUCAGCCCUACAAACAGAUGCCAUUAGUCUUUUUGCAUUCAGCAAACUACUUGCGUGUCUAAAAUUGAUUGUGUGCAAAUGCUUGGAUUCUGAGCAUGACAGAUACAUAUUUGAAACUUUUUCAACAUCUGGCUUUUAAGAACAGACUGUUAAGGAAAGCUGAGAAGAUUUGUCUCAAGUUUCCAUUAAAGCGCGUAUGACAUACAACCAUUUCAUAAACAUUCCCCCAUUCCCUCAUGAAAAAAAAGCAGAGACAACUGGCGGCCAGAAUAGCUUAAAAGAUACCACAAAAAGAGAAGCUCACAUUCCCAUCACCUGGGAGAAAAAGGCAAAAAGACAGAAUUUUGUAACUGGAAGCUUUAAAACCAAGCAGUGCCAACACAAGCAGAGAGAGAGCCAACUAACCCUGGAAGAGAUCAGUUACUGGAGCUCCUGUUUCACCCUGUACAAAAGUUCCAUAUUGGAACUCCCUGGAACUCCUAUGAGAAAAACUUGGAAAUUAAUGCAAAAUAAGAUAGUCUGACACACAUAUAGGACUGCAACUACCAGAGGAGCCCAAACCUGCCUGAGUAGCUCUGAACUCAUCAGCUCAUUGUUAACACUGGGACUAACAAUGAAGGAAGAUGAAUUAGUCCUACACUCUGCACCAGUAAUUACCCUGGUAAGGACAUUCCCUUUACAAAUGGACCUCCAGAUGCCAUACUAAGUUCUUCCUCUCUGAAAGCAGAUGCAAAUUACAGCUGAAUAAAUUACCACAAAUGUUUAAAAACCUACAAAAUACAGAGAAAACUGAUCCAAAUUGAAAUUUUGAGCUAAAGCUGUGCUUUACAAUCAGUAGGUCUAAUGGAAAGGUUUACAUAGGAUUCUCUCCCCAUUUUGCAUCUCAAGGGAAGCAUUAAAAAGGAGGGAGCACACUUAUCCUCUCCUUCUGCAGAACAGCUUUUUGCAAAAGGUACGUGCUGCAAUUUCUUUCUGAACCUUAGCCCAAGACUCCUUGUGAGCAUAUUUUUCUUGCAAGAAACUACAUCAAACUGCAAAAUCUCUACUCCUCUAGAGGUUCAGCUUCAUGACUUCACCUGCUGGGUUUUGCAACUACAACACAUCCUGUCUCUAAACUCCAAGGGGACAGGAUUAAGAGCACAAAUUCCUAAGUUCAUAAAACUACAAACAAAGCAUUUUCAUCCAAGUAAAAAAGGCCAAAGGUUCAGGAUUCCUACUGACUUCAGCAGGAGCCUUUUGGGCUUCUGAGAUACCCCAGUCCCUGAGCCAGCCUUUGUCUAUGAUGUCACAGUGCAUGUCAUUUGUAAUCUCAGAACUCGUACAGGGCAUUGCUGUGUAGGGAUUCACUGAAGGGGAUUCUUGGACCAGUUUUACAUAGCCAGCUCUGCCCACAGAAGAAUAAAUUGCUUGGUGGAUCUUGCAAAUUAGAGCUCUGUAUGCUUUUAAUAAUGAAAAUCUCAGAAGGGCAGUUGGUCAUGUGAAGGAUUUGAGUUUUGCACAAGGGUGACCCACCCAUUUCAGAGAAGCCUUGAUGCAAUCUGCUGCUCAGAUCAGAAGUGCUCACAGACACGUGGAGAAACGUGAAAUGGGCUUAGCAGGCUGUUGGUGUUGCCAAAGAGUCAAUCAGACGCUUUCUUGGACAACCCUCCUGGAGCUUGUGAUGAGUCUGUGAUGAGUCACCUGGACAUGGUUCACUCCUACCCUCUAGUACAAGCCUGCUAAGAAUUUCACAGCACUGGCCCAGUGGCCCAUAUCCACAAGUUGGGUGCAUGCAGAAGGUACCAGCCCAGGCUUUGUCACUGAACCAGCACAGAGGCUGCAUCAAAAAAUACUCUCAGCUCUCAAGCAGAGCCUGCUCACCUGCACUGUGCAAAGCUCUGCUGCUGCAUUUGCCAGGAUAUUCAGCCCCAGCCACAAAGGAGAGUGUGUGCACCUAUGGACAGAUGUGUACAUAAAGAGGGAUGUUGCCUGAGAUGAAAAGUAACACACUCAAACUUCUUUUAGCAAGGCUAAUACCUGCAUGCUCUUGAGACUGCAUUCUUAUUUCUGCUGGUAGGAGCUGUAUAAAUUUGUAAUACAGGCCAUCUGAUAAGCAUUUUCCAAGACUGCUUCUUCCAUGUGAACAGAAAUAAAUUCUCAGCAUCUGGAUGUCAUGGCAUGAAGAUGGUAAUUGAAACUCUUGCUCAGUACAGUGAAGUAUUUAGAGACAGCACAACAUAAUGGAAAUUAGCAGCAGAAGCACGAAAUUCCACAGGCUCCUGCAGCACAUCUGACCAGGAUAAAAGCUGCUGCCACAGAAGACAAACUGACCAUACCAUGGGCAAUGCAGUAUAAAGCCAGAGAAAGCUGACCUUACUCAACACACAAAGCCUUUCCAAAUAUCUGACACUAUCACUAGG